rnacentral:rRNA from 1 species
UACGUAGGGUCCAAGCGUUGUCCGGAAUUAUUGGGCGUAAAGAGCUCGUAGGCGGUCCGUUAAGUCGGAAGUGAAAUCUCAAGGCUCAACCUUGAAAUCGCUUUCGAUACUGGCGGACUUGAGGCAGGUAGGGGAAGGUGGAAUUCCUGGUGUAGCGGUGAAAUGCGCAGAUAUCAGGAGGAACACCGGUGGCGAAGGCGGGUCUCUGGGCCGAUACUGGCGCUGAGGAGCGAAAGCGUGGGGAGCGAACAGG